rnacentral:miRNA from 1 species
ACCCUAGAGACCAACUAAGUUUGCUCUGGGUAUAGGCUUUCGUGUGCAUGUACACUUCUUCAAAUAUCUGAAGAGUAUCUGAAGAAGUAUGCAUGCACAUGAAAGCUUAUACCCAGAACAAACUUAGUUGGUCUCUAAGGU